ACGAACGCUGGCGGCGUGCCUAAUACAUGCAAGUUGAGCGCUGAAGGUUGGUACUUGUACCAACUGGAUGAGCAGCGAACGGGUGAGUAACGCGUGGGGAAUCUGCCUUUGAGCGGGGGACAACAUUUGGAAACGAAUGCUAAUACCGCAUAAAAACUUUAAACACAAGUUUUAAGUUUGAAAGGUGCAAUUGCAUCACUCAAAGAUGAUCCCGCGUUGUAUUAGCUAGUUGGUGAGGUAAAGGCUCACCAAGGCGAUGAUACAUAGCCGACCUGAGAGGGUGAUCGGCCACAUUGGGACGGGGACACGGCCCCAACUCCUAAGGGAGGCAGCAGUAGGGAAUCUUCGGCAAUUGACGGAAGUCUGACCGAGCAACGCCGCGUGAGUGAAGAAGGUUUUCGGAUCGUAAAACUCUGUUGGUAGAGAAGAACGUUGGUGAGAGUGGAAAGCGCAUCAAGUGACGGUAACUACCCAGAAAGGGACGGCUAACUACGUG
rnacentral:rRNA from 1 species